UGCAAUGAUGGUGUAAUUUGCGUCCGACACCGCGUCCAGAGACAAAAUGCCUAUUGUCAAACACUGGCUCGGUCGACUGACGAACAUUGUGUCUGAGCA